GAGGAGGGCGAGUCGCGGUGCCACGCGGAGCAGACGUCACAGGAUGUCUCAGAACGUCUCUCGCAACACUGUUCAGCAAGGUAGACCGAUUAUUUGACACUCGACAGCCGUUCAUUACCCUCUGCUUUCGACAACUUGAAUUACGUGCAUCCCCUGAAUCACAAAAUGCUAAAGCCAUGGAUUAAUUCGCAGAUACGAGUUGGACGAACAGCACCCCAAACCCUUUUAAAACAUGAAACAUCCACAAAACAGUAUUUUCUUUCAGCAGACGCUUUUACAAGCAACUCACAACUGGUAAAACUGGUGGCUGCUUCAGGAAUCAAA